UUUCCGUAGGUGAACCUGCGGAAGGAUCAUUACAGAGUUCAUGCCCGACAGGGUAGACCUCCCACCCUUGUGUAUUAUUACUUUGUUGCUUUGGCGAGCUCAAGCUCGCCAGAGAAUACCAAAACUCUUUUUAUUAAUUUCGUCUGAGUACUAUAUAAUAGUUAAAACUUUCAACAACGGAUCUCUUGGUUCUG
rnacentral:misc_RNA from 1 species